GCUAAGAAGACUCUUAGCCUUUCGGUAAUAUUUUGCCAUAGUGAGAUAUCUUCUUGGUAGUUUAAUAGAAGCAAUAAUGUUGAAUUUAUGCAUUCACAAAUUAUGCUCAAUUUCUAAAGCAAACUACUUAAUAUAUUCCUUUAAAAUGAUGCUUAUAUUACAAUAACAUUUUUAUGGUUUUCUCCGAUAUCUUAUACAUAUCUUGUUGUUAUGUUUCAAAAAUUGGAAGUGUAAAUUUAACACUAACAUCUAAAUGCUUCAUACUAUUGAUUAGAAUAAUUACUCGAACAUCCAUUUUGUCCAUGUGUUUUUAAAGAUAAUGUUUUAUCACCCAUAGAAAUAUGUAAAAGGAAAAAGACGUGACUUCAAGGUAUUGCUAAUUUGUAUUCAGUAGAUUAUAGUUAAACUUAUUGAUGUACAUAAAUGCAUUUAGUAGAUAUAGCUGUAAAAUAAAUAUAUAAAAACUGUU
rnacentral:sRNA from 1 species